AUUAAAAGCCUCUAAAUACAAUCCUUUAUUGUUCAAUUUCACAAAUUAAAAAAAAAAAAAAAACAUUGCAAUAGUUGCACUAAUAACAAAAAGUACAUCAAACAUGACGAAAAGUAUCUAGAGAUUUGAAAAUCAAUCUAUACAACAGAUGUGAAAAAUAAUAAAUAUGAUAAUAAUAUUGAAACUUCAAGGAGAGUAUCUUCCAGUAGAGCUGUGCAUGUUUUCUAAUUGUGAAAUCUUAUAAAAUCUCCUUUAAUCUGAAAGAGAAAUUUAAUCAGAAUAAACAUGAGAAAUUCCAGAUCCAAGAAAUCAGAUCUACAAAAUCUCUCAAAUCUUAUUAAAAAUCUACAAAUAAAAAUGAUUUCUUUUAUAAUUCUUAGUAUCAGCAUGAACCAACUCGUGUGGAAUUUGGACCCUCUAUGGAUCAUGUUUUGAUAUUGCCAAUCAACACUCAUUUAUAUAUCUUCCUAUUUACGCAUUGGGAACUCGUCUAGUGGCAGCUGCGGCGAAGACGAAGAUGAUCAGCAAACAUAGGCCAAAAAGGGACCAAGACAUGAGCUUGAGAGAGAGUGGGAAAGGAACCGUUAGAGCAAAUAAGAAGGCUGUGAAAAUUGAUAGCUUUGCCACCAGCAUCAAAGCACGUCUAAAGUUUGGGAAAGUGAAGGAGAUGAAGUUAGACACAAAAACAGAGGCGAAGGCAAAGAGCAUAGCAAGAGAGAGCAAGUGCAUGAGGAGUGGGAGUUUGAUUUGGGGUUGAAGGGAUUGAAGAGCUAUCUCCACUGCCGAAGUCAAGCAAAAUGCAACGAUUACAGCUCCCCAAUCAAAAUGAUAUGCUGCAUAGUUAACUUGAUGAACAUCACUGGAAACUGUUCCACCUGGUUGUGGAUCAAUCCUGUGCUCCUCAAGUUGAUGAGCAGCCUCGAGGUCAAGAGCAGAAGAAGAAGGUGGGAUAUCUGGGGUGGCUGUUGUUGACGGGGGUGAGGUUGAAAAGAGCAGGGUCAAAU
rnacentral:lncRNA from 1 species